rnacentral:rRNA from 1 species
UACAGAGGGUGCAAGCGUUAAUCGGAGUUACUGGGCGUAAAGGGCGCGUAGGCGGUUGCUUAAGUUAGAUGUGAAAUCCCUGGGCUUAACCUAGGAACUGCAUCUAAUACUGAGCAGCUAGAGUAUUGUAGAGGGUAGUGGAAUUUCCGGUGUAGCGGUGAAAUGCGUAGAGAUCGGAAGGAACACCAGUGGCGAAGGCGGCUACCUGGACAAAUACUGACGCUGAGGCGCGAAAGCGUGGGGAGCAAACAGG